GGGGAGGAGGAGGAUCGCGGCGAUGGGUCAGCAUGGAAGAUCUGCAGAGCUCAGCCUUCACGGAGGUGCAAGAAGAAGAGGAGGAAGGCUCCAGGGCGGGACCAAGAGGUGCUGGGUGCAGAGAAGGGGAACGAGAGACGCUGGUUUGUACUGGCCCGUAGAGGAAGGAUGCAUAUAGAAUGAGAUAACCGGGAGACAAGGCAGACACACGCAACUCAUGCUAGCCCACAAGCCAAGUUUGAGGUUGGGGUGUGUGUGAAAAGUGGAGCGUGAAUAUCGCCUCCAGGUGAAGAGGCAUUUCCUUUUGAUCCUGUCUCUUUGACACUUUCAUUGGCUCCCAGAAGCUCCACUGGAGGCAUUGGACACGGUACCCUGCAAAAGAAAGGUGGGGACGAGAAGGGGCCUCAGGCUGCCUGAGAGGUUUUAUUUGCUCGCAAGAAAUACUAGGAUUUUGCAAAUGGAUUCUACUGCAUGAAAGGAAAGGCUCGGAAAUUUCAGGCAAGCGACUUCUUGUAAAACUAAUUUGACUGAAAUCCCCAGAACUGUGGACUUCUCUGCUACGCGUGCUGCUUCUCCGGGAGCUUUUGACUCACAUUCUCUGCCUCCAGCAGUAUGCUCAUCUGAUGUGCUCUUCCCAACUGAAGCUGCGAGUCUCUGAAAGCAUUCCCUAUUAAUAGGAACUAAGAGGACAGCUAACUGCACCUCAGAGAGCCCACCCGCCGUUAAAGUGAAACACCAACUCAAUUAGUGGGGAUGGAGAAGCAGGGGUGGUGUAUCUACAGAGCUUAUCCCUUCUGAUUUGAUUCAGAAUAGGUGGUUUAGCAAGGCAUAGCUUAUUACCCAUUUUGAAUGCGCUGCUCACUUUCCAACUGACUUUUUGUGCUGUUCCAUGUUGAAUAGCAAAAUGGAGGCAGAACUAUAAUACAAAUUGGGUAGCCAAAAGGCAGAAAUCAAUAUUAGCUUUGCAUGUAGCUAUAGGAUCAGAACAUGCUAGUUUGUGUGACGGCAGGGAAUGGGAAGAAGAAAAGCGCUUUACUCACCCAAAUGCCUCCCCAAAAUAUAAGAGAAAUGUGUUUCCCGACUUUUAUGAUGAGCUAGCAUGCCCAAAGACAGGACCGGUGGUAUAAUGAGGCAAGCUGAGACACUUGCCUCAGGUGGCAAGAGUGGGAAAUUGCCCCUCUUGAGGCAACCUUGCUUGUUGUUUCACCUCCUGCGGCAGCCUUGAUGCCACUAUAAAGCCUUUGAGGAAUCUAUGAGGCUGUCCACCUCAUACUGAGGAAGGGCCAAGAGGGGUCCCGCCUCAGAGUGAGGCAUUCUGAGGAGGUAUCCAGGCAAGUGUCUGGACUGCUGCUGUUUUGCUAAGGUGGGGUUGCUAUAGUUCUAGAAAUGAAAUUCAGGAUGGAAAAGUUGUUGAACCUUUUUUAAAAAAAUGAAAAUCAAGGUUGUUGAGCAAUCAACUUCAAAAUCCUGGACAUUUUGCUGAUUUUCCAAAAUUCCCCCCAGAUGCUAUUUUCGCUGGUUAAAUCCCAGACAUAUGGCAACCUUAGCUAAGGCAAGCUAGAAAUUCUUUUAAAAUUUAGGGCUAAGUUUUUAUCUUCAUCAGAGCACAACCAUACUUUAAAACAUACAAAAGUUAAGAUAGUAAAACAGAUUAAAAUAGAUAAAUGGACAGUUCAGUUAGAAACGAGUUCCCUGAGCAAGCUUAGCAGUCAUAAAAUAAAAGGAGAGGUGCUCUUGUGGACCAGGAAUUGGUUAAGUAUCCGGAAGCAGGGAAUAGGAAUAUAUGGACUGUUCUCUGGAGAGAUGUAGGAAGUGGAAUCCCCCAAGGAUUGGUUUUUGGGCCUGUGCUUUUAAAACUUGUUCAUCAACUUUCCGUAGUUAGGGAUGAGCAGUGAGUUGGCGAUGUUUGCUGACAAUGCUAAAUUGUUCAGGGUGUCCUGGCUCCCACCCCAAUACACACAAGCAGAGUCUCUUACUUGUAAGUGAGCAAGAGAUAUUUACUUAGGCUUAGCAGAAGCAGGCAUGAGCCUCCAGAGCCAUGGUUCAGGAGUUCAAGAGCAAGGCAAGAAGUUCAGAACUGGACAAAAGCAGCAAAGGUGUCCUAACAACUUCCACAAUGCACCCAUCACGCUGACUUGUUACAGCAGGGUUUGAGUGCAAUUGAAGUCCCUGGCGUGAUACAAUUAAUGGAGUGCCAUUUUUGUUAGGAGCUGCUGCCUAUGCUAAUUUCCUUCCAAAUCACCCCAAGCUGCAAUAUAGUACCUGUUUCCUGAUUGCAUAAUUUAAUUAAGUGGUAGACAAGAGUUCUAAUAUGUUAAAGUUGCCUCCUACAAUGCUAGUUCUUGGUUUACAGUAGUUGGUAAAUGAAUCAUGGGUCAUACUGUUCAUCAUUUAAAAUACAACCAUAUAAUUUUAAGCAUUCAGAUAACAGAUUGUUUAGGGAAUCUGCACAUAAUUUUCAUAUUUCUAAUUCAGAUAACAUUUCACACUUCUUACAUAUGAUGAUUUUCAAGUAACAGAUACGCUAUAGAGAUUCAAGCUAGAACUAUAAAUGGAAGUAUAUUGAAAGAAACCAAUCCUGAUGCAGUUAAAACAGUUUUCGAAAAGACUUUCACUCUUGAUUUUAAGUUGGAGAGAGGAGUGACGAAAGAAUUGCAUGAUGUUCUAGUUCAAGAGUCAGCAGCACUUUCUUUUAAGAACAGAAGAAGAAAACAGAGCUUUAAAAAAAGCUUUGGGUAUUUUCACACAUUGGACUUAAAUUGCCUUGGAGUCUCUCACAGGCAAUUUAUGUUAACACCCACAAUAGUUGUUAACAUACCAAGAACAGUAGAGCUACUUUAAACCUCAUGUGACACUAUCCUUUGGCUUCUGGUUAGGUUGACAAAAAUGAGUUAAUGAAGGAGACAGCAAUUGUGCCACCUGCUGAUUGUUGGUGUUCAUUUUCUAUGCAGGAUAAUUAGGGCAACUUCAUAUGUUACCUUUGCAGAGUGCUUGGUACCACUAACCUGCUCCCCCAUCACUGGCUCUGUCAUGGGGUAGAAUGGAUGUACGCUUCACACCACAUAAAAGAAAGAUAAAUGCAGAAACAUUUUCUACAGUUUCCAGCACUGAAGGUUUAGAAUGACAUGUAAUAGGCCACAAAGGGUUCAACCAUAGACUUUAUCCUAGUAGUAGCUGGCAGAAGAUGAGCCGCAGAUAAUUUGACUUUUAAUCCUUCACUUCGUAAGCAAUCUCUGCAAAAGAAGAGCCAUUCUAAAGCAGACCAAAAAAAAACCACAAAAAGCAAAUCCCAUCUAGUUUAGCAUCCUGUCUCUCAGUGGCUAACCAGAUUCCUGUAAGAAGCCUGGAAGCAGGACAUAAGCACAAUAGCAUCUUGAAACAAUUGUUAGAGCACCUCUAAACAGAUUUGAUUUCUGCAGUCAUUGUUGUCCAUCCUGUUCCAGAUACAGUAUGUGGGUUACUUCAGCAUGCAGUGUUUCCCCACCUCAGUCAGGGCCCAGUAGGCUGAGUUCACAAAUGUUCCUUCUUCCAGUUCAGAACAAAGGAAGCUUUGCUCUUCAUGUCAUCUAGAGGUGCUGCGCAAUACUAUAUUGACACGCCAAACUGGCUGUACUAUACAGAGAGCUGCACCCCAUGGUCUCAUGCUAUGUUCUACCACCUUGCAACACUGCAAAAGGAUCCUGUGAUUAUAAGGUACUUUUAUUGAUGCCUAUAGAAAUAUUGCAGUCUCUCCGGCAACAACUUGGAUUGCUCAUGCAGUCAGUCUGUUUCUCAGUCCUGUAGAGCUAAUGUUAAAAUAAACUGAGCAGCACUUUGAAAAUGCCGCUUUAAAAUAUGAUUUUUUAUCUGUUUACCCGAACUUUUUGGAAACUGCCAUGGAAAAAUAACACAGAAAUUGCAGAAUAUCCACAAUUCUCACAUUUCAUUCCCCAACAGGUAACAAUCCUUAGAAAAGUGCUUAUUAUUUAUUAUUACUGCUGCUACUAAUAUAUCUCACCCAUCUUCCAAAGCAUUCAAGGCAGCAUUCAUGGAUAGAGUUUACCCCACUUUAUCGUCAUAAAGUGACUGCCCCACAGACACCCAGUGAGCUAUACAGCUGAGGAGGGAUUUGACCUUACUUCUCCCUGGACAAAGUAUAUGUUCCAGAACCUGUAGGAGAAAUGAUACAAAUGGUUAGAAGACAUAUACAAAGCCUAUGACAUUGGGGGUGUAUGUGUGCAAAUUGGAUUAAACAUUCAUCAAAG